rfam:Triticum aestivum genome assembly, contig: Triticum_aestivum_CS42_TGACv1_scaffold_425204_5BS
AUACUACUCCCUCCGUCCGGAAAUACUUAUCAUCAAAAUGAACAAAAGGAGAUGUGUCUAGACGUAUUUUAGUUUUAGAUACAUCUCUUUUUAUUCAUUUUGAUGACAAAUAUUUUUGGACGGAGGGAGUACAUA